rnacentral:rRNA from 1 species
UACGUAGGUCGCAAGCGUUGUCCGGAUUUACUGGGCGUAAAGAGCGCGCAGGCGGCUGGCCAAGUCCGAUGUGAAAUCUCCCGGCUUAACCGGGAAACUGCAUCGGAAACUGGUCGGCUUGAAGGUGGGAGAGGGUAGCGGAAUUCCCGGUGUAGUGGUGAAAUGCGCAGAUAUCAGGAGGAACACCGAUGGCGAAGGCAGGUCUCUGGGCCGAUACUGACGCUGAGGAGCGAAAGCGUGGGGAGCGAACAGG